rnacentral:lncRNA from 1 species
CCCAAUCUCUUGGCUAACCCGUAGGUUUCGUCCUCAACAAACUCACCACCCAAAAUCCUAUUAACCGGAGAGAUACCCGCUACAACCCGAUAGGACCGUCCUCUGGGGAGAUACCCGCUACAACCCAGUGAUGUCGACUCCGGAGCACAUCGCCCGAGGGGGAGCUACCACCCUCGAGCAAGGACUAAAGGUGAGUACGAUCAAUCCUACAUUGAGGAUUCCAAGUUCAAUCCAUUCCUUAACUUUAAAGAAGACCAUGCUCAAUGACCCUUAACUCUAAGAUUGCAAUGUCAUAAUAUCUCAAUCAUUCUUUUCUUUGCAUUCUUUACCAACACUAGUGUCAUAUACACUACCAAGUUCUUGUACUCAUGCCACACUUGUUUUCUAAGUGCUAUAUUCUUGUUCUCAUGCCAAAUGCCACACUUAUUUUUCUAAGUAUUCUAGACUCAUCAAUGUCACUCGCUAGAUCUAUGUCCAUGUGUCACUUUUGUUCACUAACCCUUCUAGGUUCUUGUCACUUGUCAUCCAUAAAUAGGGUUAUAAUUCUCACAUUCUUACAAGUAUUUCAUACGAAAUUAAACUCACGAUCAUGCAUAAAUAGGGAGAGGUGUGUGUGUGUGAAUGGCUGUAGAGGGAGAGGGGGUUGGGUAUAUAAGGUGUUGUAACAUUUACAACAAGACCCCUCCACUUUAUUCCCUGUGCACUGCCCAAACUGGGCAUUUUUCGCAGUGAGGGACCGGUCUCCCCGACCUGGGACCGGUCCCCGAGAGCUCCGCCCGCGAACUGCGCAGGCUGCGCGCGAUGCAACCGGUCUCCCUCGAUGGGACCGGUCUCUGGGGGACCGGUCUCUGCUCGCAAGGACCGGUUCCCAAGAGCUGAUUUUCCAGGACUUAGCCAAUUUCUCAGCCACCUCGCUGCCUACGCGUUCGGGGACCAGUCUCUCCCACCAGGGACCGGUCCCCGAGAGCACAAAACCCGCAGUGUGCAGAUUUUGAUUUCUAAAGCUCUCGAAGAUCCCCAGUAAUGUAUUUUAGCAUUAUUUGACGCCUUCGGCCUCUCCGAAGUGUACCAACCUCGCACUUUGGUCAAUUUGACCAAGGUUUGAAUUUAAUCACCGAGGUUUCGGUAUGUUACAUUCUCCACCCCUUAAAUUUAGUUUCAUCCGCGAAACUUACUUAAUUUAGACUUAAACUCAUACCUCAAUUCAGCUCGUUAAAGAGCUGAGGAUAAUGCUCCCGCAUUGCGCUCUCAAGCUCCCAAGUGGCUUCCCGAUCAUCGUGAUUGCACCAACGAAUCUUAACAUACGGAAUCUCGCGAUUUCGUAGUUUUUUUACUUCUCGAUCGAUGAUGUAUGCCGGGAACUCCUCAUAGGUCAUGUCCUCUUGGAUCUCAGACGAUUCAAACGACAAGAUAUGCUCGGGGUCGUGAACGUACUUGCGGAGAUUCGAUACAUGAAACACGUCGUGUACUCCCGCAAGCCUCGGUGGUAAUGCUAUCUUGUACGCCACCGCACCUACCCGCUCCAAUACUUCGAACGGUCCAAGGUAUCGAGGACUUAGCUUUCCACGGAGCCCAAACCAUCUAAUUCCUCGCAUCGGCGAUACUUUUAGAAAGACGUGGUCGCCAACUGCAAACUCUAUGUCUUUUCUCUGCUUGUCGGCAUAGCUCUUUUGCCGGGAUUGCGCCGUAGCCAGCCGCUGGCGGGCGAGGCGAACCUUCUCCUCCGCUUCCCGCACUACAUCGGGGCCGAGAGCUGCUCUCUCACCCACAUUGCUCCAAUGGAUUGGAGAGCAACAUUUCUUUCCAUAAAGGGCCUCGAAUGGCGCCAUCGCGAUACUCUCUUGAUAGCUGUUAUUGUACGCGAACUCCGCCAUUGGUAGAUGAUCGUGCCAACUGCCCUUGUAGUCCAAUACACACGCUCGGAGCAUAUUCUCAAGUAUUUGUAUCGUCCUUUCCGAUUAACCAUCACUUUGAGGAUGAAAUGCUAUGCUAAAGUCGAGCCGUGUGCCCAAGGCCUCCUGUAGGCUUCUCCAAAAAUGAGAUGUGAACCUCGGGUCCCGAUCUGAUACGAUAGACACCAGUACCCCGUGAAGUCUCAUAACCUUGUCGAUGUAUAGUUGAGCCAACUUGUCCCCCGACCAAGUAAUAUGAAUCGGUAGGAAAUGCGCCGACUUCGUCAACCGGUCUACUAUCACCCAAAUUACGUCGUGUCCACCUUGAGAUCGAGGCAAUCCGGUCACGAAGUCCAUUGCGAUAUUUUUCCAUUUCCAAACGGGUAUAGGUAAACUUUGCAACUUCCCCGUCGAAAAACGCCGCUCCGCUUUUACUUGUUGGCAAGUAAGACAUUGCGCAACAAACUCCCCAAUGUCUUUCUUCAUGCCCGGUCACUAAUAAUGCAGUUUCAAAUCUUGGUACAUUUUGGUGCCGCCCGGGUGUAUACUAUAAGGCGAUUGAUGCGCUUCUUGCAUAAUCGCCCUGCGGGUGUCCUUGUUCUUAGGCACGCACCAACGGUUUCUAAACCGGAGUGCACCGUCGGUCCCAAUGCCAAAAUCAUCGGCACUACCGCUCUCAACUUCACCAUGCACCUUUUGGAGAUAAUCAUCGGAAGCUUGCAGCUCUUUUAUCCUCUCCAGCAAGGUCGGUUGCACCACUAACGCGGUAAGUGUAUCUGGCACUCCCGGCUCCACUACUUCCAAUCCAAGCCAUUGCAUCUCCUUUUGUAACAACGGUUAGGGUGUAAUUGCCGAUGCCAAAUUUUCUCCCGAUUUUCUACUAAGUGCAUCGGCCACCACAUUUGCUUUCCCGGGGUGGUAUAGAAUAAUAACAUCAUAGUCUUUCAACAAUUCUAACCACCAUCGCUGCCGUAUAUUUAGCUCCUUUUGGGUGAACAAGUAUUUAAGGCUCUUGUGGUCCGUGUAGAUCUCACAAUGUUCCCCAUAUAGGUAAUGCCUCCAUAAUUUUAGCGCGAAAAUAACCGCCGCUAACUCCAGAUCGUGGAUCGGGUAGUUUUUCUCAUACGUCUUCAAUUGGCGCGAAGCAUACGCUAUAACUCGGCCGUUUUGCAUCAAGACAUACCCGAGUCCUACGUAGAAAGCAUCACUAUAAACCACAAAGGUCUCCCCCGGCGUCGGUAGAGCAAGCACUAGGGUCGUGGUCAAUUUUUCUUUUAGUUCCUCGAAGCUCCGCUCGCAUUCGGGGCUCCAAACAUACUUCACCCCUUUGUGCGUAAGACGCGUUAGUGUAGUAGUUAUUUUAGCAAACCCCUCUACGAACCGCCGGUAAUAGCCCGCUAGCCCAAGGAAACUGCGGACCUCCGAUACGCUCGUUGAUCGAGGCCAAUCUCUAAUUGCCUCAACUUGCUUCGGGUCCACCGAGAUACCAUUGCCCGAAAUUACAUGACCAAGGAAAGUGACCUCCGAUAGCCAAAAGUCGCAUUUCUUCGACUUGGCAUAUAACUUCUCUUUUCGGAGUAUUUCCAACACGGUCCUUAAGUGCUCCUCGUGUUGUUCCUCGGUCCGAGAAUAUACCAAUACGUCGUCAAUGAAUACCACGACGCAACGGUCCAAUAGCGGACGGAAGACCCUAUUCAUUAAGUCCAUAAAUGCCGCCGGGGCGUUAGUAAGCCCAAACGGCAUCACCGUGAACUCAUAAUGGCCAUACCGCGUACAGUACGCCGUCUUGUGCACAUCCUCGGGCCGUAUCUUCAACUGAUGAUACCCCGACUGAAGGUCUAUCUUCGAGUACACCCUCAACCCUUGCAAUUGAUCGAAUAAAUCGUCAAUCCUCGGCAAUGGGUACUUGUUCUUCACUGUGACCUUAUUCAACUCGCGGUAGUCCACGCAGAGUCGAAGUGUGCCAUCUUUCUUUUUAACAAAUAGCACCGGAGCUCCCCACGGUGACACGCUUGGCCUCACGAAGCCUUUGUCGAGCAAGUCUUGCAACUGUGCCUUAAGCUCUUUUAGCUCCGCGGGUGCCAUUCUAUACGGGGCCUUCGAAAUUGGAGCCGCCCCGGGUACCAAGUCAAUAAUGAACUCGAUUUCCCAGUCCGGUGGCAAACCCGGUAACUCCACCGAAAAUACGUCCGGAAACUCACACGCCACCCGAAUACCACUAAGUUCCGAGCGCUCCUUCGGGGCUUCUACCACUGUCGCCAAAUAGGUUUCACAACCACCUCUUAUCAUUUUCCUCGCCCGUGCCACCAACACGGUCGCCGCGAAGAGCGAGCUUUUAGCUGCCCGAUACACUAGCUCCUCUCGAUUAGGCUCACGAAACGUGAUUACCUUACUUUCGAAAUCUAUCACAGCAUAAUACUUGGAGAGCCAGUUGGUCCCCAAGAUCACGUCGAAACCCCACAUUCGAUUCAACACCAACAGGUCGAUCGGCAUAACCCAAUCACCUAUCUGCACUGGGCACGCUACACACUCUUCGUGAAUAUGGAAAGUAUGCUAGACCGAAUUCACCGUCCAAUAGUCAUAAUGAUGCACAAUCUUAAUGCCAUGAGCCCUAGCGAAUGAUGCAUCUAUGAAUGAAUGUGAUGCACUAGUGUUGAAGAAAGCUCUAGCUCUAGUGCCUCUGAUUGAGAUAAUACCUGCCACGAUGUCGUCGGAAACAGGAAUCGGCUCCUCUUCCACCUGAGUGCAAAAACCCGUCCACUCGGUGCUCUCGAUGCCUCCGGCUGACGCGAUGAAGACAAGCGUCCAGCCGAUAUAGCCGGCGGUAAUCCCGCCUGCUGCCUCGGGGUAUAAGGGACUGAUGCCGAGGUCGAUGCAGAUGAACUCCAGCUAGGGCACUCUCGUGACACAUGCCCAGGUUGGCCACACUUAAAGCAUUUUCCCUCCCGCUGCGGGCACGACGGCGGUUGAUGGUUGCCGCCGCAAAUAACACAACGGGAUGGUCUCCAACCCCUCGACUGCUGUCAGGGAUACCGAGGGGGUUUCUUAGCAUUUGGCCGGCCCUCGGUACCACCCGCUGUCCGCUUCUUGCUCUUCUCCCUUGCCUCGGCUGCGGACUCACGCUCCUCGCGCUCAUGGGCAUAACCAUGCUCCGCCGACAAAGCCCGAUCAAAGACCUCCGCAAAGGUCGUGAGCUUGAGGAUCUGCACGGCCCUAUGAAUCCCUGGCCGCAAUCCUCGUAGGAACCAGUCCGCUCGGUCCCGGUCAUCCCUGACAACAUCCGGAACGCAGUGAAUGAGGUGGGAGAACUCCUGCUCGUAGUCUGCCACCGAGCGAUCCUCUUGCCUCAACUUGCGGAAUUUCUCUUGCAACUUCCGCUUCACCGUAUCGGGGAAGUAGUUGGCGAACACCGCCCUCCGAAACUCCUCCCACAACAUAGGCGGAAGAUCGGGCGACCGAUCUCGCCUAACAAGCUUCCACCACACCUUCGCCGCCUUCUCAAGGCAAUGUGUGGCGAGGUACACCUUGUCCUUCUCCAAGGUGUUAAGGUCCUCGUAAAGUGUCUCUAUGGAGUCGAUCCAGGACUCCACCACCGCCGGUUCCACCACUCCCCCUUCGAAGGUAGGUGGGUUGAACUUCUGAAACUGAAUGAGAGCCGCCAACGCGCGCUCCCGCUCCGCCUCCUCCGCCGCACUAUCGGGGUUUGAGGUCCCCGAUCCUGCCGGCACCAUCGUAACUGGCACGACCGCCGCGACCACACCCUCGGCCGCACUCGGCACCACUGCAGGAGGCGCAGAGUGCACGGCCUCCACGGGCGCCGCCGCCACCUGCUGCCGCUCCAAGGCCUCCUGGAGCCUUUGGAUUUGCUCCCCUUGGUGCUGAAUGGAUUCCGCCUGCUGCCGCACUAUGCCAAUAAGCGCGGCCAUCUGCUCCCGAAGCUCCCGGUCGCCACCUGCUCCGGGUUGCACGGGAGCCGUACUUGACUCCUGGGCCAUAGAUCUCGUCCGCGGUCGACCACGAGGUAGCUUAGGUCGUCCACGAGGCGGCAUUGCUUCAUGAAACGAAGCAACUCACGUUAGUUACUUAGACAGUAUACUCGAUUAUACCCAAUUCGGCGAAAGCAUAUAAGUGCAUUUAUUUUCAUUCCAAAGCGUUUUGUCGUCGGCCGCCGAUCACAACACAAGGAAAAGCAAACGAAUAACAACUUAAGUUCAGUCCCUAACCACAUUAGAGACAUAAUUACAUCGAUCCAAUCCAUGCCUUCGCUAAAACUUAUUCAGUGUCGCUCACGUUUCCUAGAUCCUUAAGGUUCUCCAUUCCUAAGGGUCUCUAGGUCCAUCCUAUGCUUUCACUUUCUGGCUCUUUACGCUCGGAUACCAUCUUAUCUGUCAUGCCCCGAGCCCGAUCCUUUUGGCCGGUUCGAGAGUGUCGAACAGACGCCGAACGGACAGAACCUCCCCUGACCGCUCAAGGCUCAACAACAAGUAUCAAUAGAAUAUAAAGUUUGCAUAAGCGGAAGCAUACACAAUGGCUUGCACGAGGGCAAGCAAUAGCCAUUAGUGAAAGAAUCUACUAAAUCAUCAUACAAGUAUUUGACUAGAUUUAAAUCACAUACAUGCAUUCGACUUUAAUACAACUUUGCAUUAUUUCUUUUAUACAUCACAAGUUCUUCAAAAUAUGAUUCUUUUUCCAUUUACAUAAAUAAAGUCUUCUACAUCAUUCCUUUAACAUGAUCACAAUAUUAACAUCAUCAAGUACAAAAGAUGAUAAUAAGGGGUAUGCAACUAUGAAAAUAAAACAUCUCGGGCGGUCUCUACCUAGGGCGUGAUGCACUUACCGCGAUCGCCUGCCUGCUCGCUCGGUCCUGGCUCUGUGGAAAGAGUGGGUGUGAGAACUACAACAAAGUUUCCAGUGGGUUCGGCAACCAACCACGCCGACUAUCCCACUAGGUCUAAUCAGGCAUAAUAGAAUAGAAGAAAUAAAGUAACCAACUAACAAUGCAACUAAUAUGCCUGAACAAUAUAAAAUGCGAUGCUCGAAAUAAUGCUCAUGAUGAAUGCAAGAUCAUAAUUUCUUUACACAAUCUCUUGGCUAACCUGUAGGUUUCGCCUUCAACAAACUCACCACCCAAAAUCCUAUCAACCAGGGAGAUACCCGCCACAACCCGAUAGGACCGUUCUCUUGGGAGAUACCCGCUACAACCCAGUGAUGUCGAUUCCGGAGCACAUCGCCCGAGGGAGAGCUACCACCCUUGAGCAAGGACUAAAGGUGAGUACGAUGAAUCCUACAUUGAGGAUUCCAAGUUCAAUCCAUUCCUUAACUUUAAAGAAGACCAUGCUCAAUGACCCUUAACUCUAAGGUUGCAAUGUCAUAAUAUCUCAAUCAUUCUUUUCUUUGCAUUCUUUACCAACACUAGUGUCAUAUACACUACCAAGUUCUUGUACUCAUGCCACACUUGUUUUCUAAGUGCUAUGUUCUUGUUCUCAUGCCAAAUGUCACACUUAUUUUUCUAAGUGUUCUAGACUCAUCAAUAUCACUCGCAAGAUCUAUGUCCAUGUGUCACUUUUGUUCACUAAUCCUUCUAG